ACUGGUGGGCGACCUAGAAAUUAAAUGUAUUCCCGCAUUAUACUGGUGGGCGACCUAGAACUUGAAUGUAUUCCCGCAUUAUACUGGUGGGCGACCUAGAACUUGAAUGUAUUCCCGCAUUUUACUGGUGGGCGACCUAGAACUUAAACGUAUUCCCGCAUUAUACUGGUGGGCGACCUAGAACUUGAAUGUAUUCCCGCAUUAUACUGGUGGGCGACCUAGAACUUAAUGUAUUCCCGCAUUAUACUGGUGGGCGACCUA
rnacentral:lncRNA from 1 species